UAGCAGUUGAAUCAAUGAAGUCUAGUAUAAGAAAUGGUAUGUUGAAUUAGAUUUAAUGAAGGAAUGAAUAUCCUGGGAAAAUGAACGAAGCAGAAAUAACAGAAAUUCUAUAGAAUGAACUGAAGAGAAUCUAGGAAAGAACAGGGCUGCCAGAUAAUGGACAUAGAUUAAAGUUCAAGGUCUUACCACAAAGAAAAGAGAGCUUUCCUUGUCUGUACAGUAAAACCUUUUUAUUGUAUAUCUAAACAAUAACCCAGGUGUAC